CAAGGUUGCGCGGUCAUUCUAAUCAAAACUGUAAACCGUGAGGGAGGGGCUCUUGCACGUGCAUUGUAAAACGGCUGUUGAAUUUUUCCGCAGUAUUCUCAAAUGCUGAAAGAUUUCGAGGCCACCGACGCAAACUGCGCCAUCUCUUGGGACCUGGAAGUCCACGUGACGACGUCCGUAUCGCAUUUAGGAAUCUUUCCUGCGCGACGCCUCGGCUCGCACGGAAACGCGAGUGAGCCCUUCUCGACGGGGGAAAAGCCAAGAUUUGUUCCCCCGCCUAAAUCACAUCACGCCAUGGCGACAGGAGCUAAAUAUAGUCUUUAGCCCCUCUCUUGCACACUCACCCUUAUUUGCAUGCAAUCAUUUGUUUGAUUUGUAUCAGCGUGCAGGAUGUGGACAGGAGAGAUCCCGUGGGCCCUGGAGGAUGAGCCAGAACAAAUAAUGCUCUGUUGAACAGGCCGGGAAGAAGAUAGCGAGGACUUAUCUCGCCGCGAGGGGCUCAAGAAAAAGAUGGUUUCAAGUAGCGUCUCUCCACCUACACGCUCCUUCUGCCUGCUCGCCCGCCUCGCAAAUUCACACGCUCACGUUUCCCCCCCUCGUGACAGCCGGCGCCACGUUCCUGGCAAAGCGCUCGCCACUCGUUUAGGGAAACUAGCGAUGUGGAGUCAUGAUCUGGAGCCCGUCCCGCUCGCCGCUCGAGGGGGAGGGAGGCGCUUCCCAGAUGCUUUGCCAGCUUUAAUUAGAUUGCUUUGGAGAGCAGGGCGGGCGACGGAGGCGCACGAGAGAGCCGGAGACGAGGGUCACCAGUCGUCGUCUGAAGCUUUUUGGCCUCGCCGGCGCUCAAUCAACACACACUAAUGCAAAUAGAAAAUAAAACGAUACUGAGGGAGAAAAUAUGCACGACUCGCAGGGGAUUGGGGCGCAGACUCAAAAAGGUUUCAUCCUGAGAGGCCACCAGAUGGCGCUAAAGCAAUGCUGACGUUUGCAACGACAGCAAAUAGGCAGCUGCAGCUCAACUCCCACAAGUCGGCCUGCGUUGUGAUGUGGGCCGGCAUGCGCUUGGAAAAAGACUCCGCAGCACAUACGGAUGGGCCCACUGAGAUUUUGGAAGUCAGGCUUCAGGUGGAGAUCAGUCAAGUCAUCUUUCCUCCCUCAGCGUACUAUAGGAGCUGGUUCUCCUCUCAUCCAUGA